AGAAUCAACGCUGGCGGCGUGCCUAACACAUGCAAGUCGAACGAGAAAGGGUAGCAAUACCUGAGUAAAGUGGCGCACGGGUGAGUAACACGUGACUAACCUACCCUGGAGUGGGGGAUAACUGAGGGAAACCUUAGCUAAUACCGCAUAAUACCUACGGGUCAAAGGAGCAAUUCGCUUUGGGAGGGGGUCGCGGCCGAGUUAGUUAGGUUGGCGGGGUAAUGGCCCACCGAAGACGGAUGAUCGGUAUCC
rnacentral:rRNA from 1 species